rnacentral:rRNA from 1 species
GUGGGGAAUCUUGCACAAUGGACGAAAGUCUGAUGCAGCGACGCCGCGUGAGCGAUGAAGCCCUUCGGGGUGUAAAGCUCUUUCGACAGGAACGAUAAUGACGGUACCUGGAGAAGAAGCUGCGGCUAACUACGUGCCAGCAGCCGCGGUAAUACGUAGGCAGCAAGCGUUGUUCGGAAUUACUGGGCGUAAAGCGUGCGUAGGCGGUGGCUCAAGUUUGGUGUGAAAUCUCCCGGCUCAACUGGGAGGGUGCGCCGAAAACUGAGUUGCUCGAGUGUGGGAGAGGUAGGCGGAAUUCCUGGUGUAGCGGUGAAAUGCGUAGAUAUCAGGAGGAACACCGGCGGUGUAGACGGCUUACUGGACCAUAACUGACGCUGAGGCACGAAAGUGUGGGGAGCAAACAGGAUUAGAUACCCUUGUAGUCC